rnacentral:rRNA from 1 species
CCACGGGUGGCUGCAGUGAGGAAUAUUGGUCAAUGGCCGAGAGGCUGAACCAGCCAAGUCGCGUGAGGGAUGACGGCCCUACGGGUUGUAAACCUCUUUUGUCGGGGAGCAAAGAGAGUCACGUGUGGCUCAUUGAGAGUACCCGAAGAAAAAGCAUCGGCUAACUCCGUGCCAGCAGCCGCGGUAAUACGGAGGAUGCGAGCGUUAUACGGAUUUAUUGGGUUUAAAGGGUGCGCAGGCGGAGGUGCAAGUCAGUGGUCAAAUUGCGGGGCUCAACCCCGUACUGCCGUUGAAACUGCAUCCCUUGAGUGCGCGAGAAGUAUGCGGAAUGCGUGGUGUAGCGGUGAAAUGCAUAGAUAUCACGCAGAACUCCGAUUGCGAAGGCAGCAUACCGGCGCGCAACUGACGCUCAUGCACGAAAGCGUGGGUAUCGAACAGGAUUAGAUACCCCAGUAGUC